UACGGAGGGGACUAGCGUUGUUCGGAAUUACUGGGCGUAAAGCGCACGUAGGCGGAUUUGUAAGUCAGGGGUGAAAUCCCGGGGCUCAACCUCGGAACUGCCUUUGAUACUGCAAAUCUCGAGUCCGGAAGAGGUGAGUGGAAUUCCUAGUGUAGAGGUGAAAUUCGUAGAUAUUAGGAAGAACACCAGUGGCGAAGGCGGCUCACUGGUCCGGUACUGACGCUGAGGUGCGAAAGCGUGGGGAGCAAACAGGG
rnacentral:rRNA from 1 species